rnacentral:rRNA from 1 species
UACGUAGGGUGCGAGCGUUAAUCGGAAUUACUGGGCGUAAAGCGUGCGCAGGCGGUUUUGUAAGACAGGCGUGAAAUCCCCGGGCUCAACCUGGGAAUGGCGCUUGUGACUGCAAGCUGGAGUGCGGCAGAGGGGGAUGGAAUUCCGCGUGUAGCAGUGAAAUGCGUAGAUAUGCGGAGGAACACCGAUGGCGAAGGCAAUCCCCUGGGCCUGCACUGACGCUCAUGCACGAAAGCGUGGGGAGCAAACAGG